AUUGAACGCUGGCGGCAUGCCUUACACAUGCAAGUCGAACGGUAACGCGGGGCAACCUGGCGACGAGUGGCGAACGGGUGAGUAAUGCAUCGGAACGUGCCCAGUAGUGGGGGAUAGCCCGGCGAAAGCCGGAUUAAUACCGCAUACGACCUACGGGUGAAAGCGGGGGACCGUAAGGCCUCGCGCUAUUGGAGCGGCCGAUGUCAGAUUAGGUUGUUGGUGGGGUAAAGGCCUACCAAGCCGACGACCUGUAGCUGGUCUGAGAGGACGACCAGCCACACUGGGACUGAGACACGGCCCAGACUCCUACGGGAGGCAGCAGUGGGGAAUUUUGGACAAUGGGGGCAACCCUGAUCCAGCCAUGCCGCGUGCGGGAAGAAGGCCUUCGGGUUGUAAACCGCUUUUGUCAGGGAAGAAACGCUCUGGGCUAAUACCCUGGGGUAAUGACGGUACCUGAAGAAUAAGCACCGGCUAACUACGUGCCAGCAGCCGCGGUAA
rnacentral:rRNA from 1 species